ensembl:lncRNA
GUGAAUGUAUAAGAGAUUACUGAAUCUUUGGCUCCUUAUAUGUGUUAACAGUGAAAACAGUAGAUUUGAUUAUCACUCAUUAAAAUGGUUGUGUGUGUGUGUGUGUGUGUGUGUGUGUGUGUGUGUGUCUGCAUUCUCACCUAAAGGAAAUGGAGCGAAAUGGGUCUUUGGCUUUGCCCAUUCAGACUGAUGUGUGUUUUCAGAGGGCAGGACUUGCCAGUGGGAGUGUAUAAAAGCAUAUAAAAGAGGCUGCGGUGCUUUAAGUACCAGACUUGUAUUUGUCUUUCUGUACAUCUCUUUCUUCUCUUUAAGUGCUGCUGGUUUUUGCACAGUGCCUCCUCCAUCAUGCUGGCUCGAGCUCUGCUCCAGACUUCGCUGGUUCUCUGGUUGGCUCAGCAAACUCUGCAAGGCGGGGUUAAACCUCAAAGUGUUUCCUGGGGGAGGGUGCUUCCAGCCAGAGGUGUGGGAAUCGGCGGCGUGAAACCUGGAGUUACUGGUGCCCUUGGAGCACUGGGUAGCCGAUAUGGCAACAAAGCAAUGAAGACUGGAAUUGGACGUUAUCCUGCAGCCCAGCUUGGUGUUGGAGGCUACAGAUCUCUUGGAUUAGGAGGAAGAGCUGGUCUGAUGCAAGGUGGAUAUGGAAACCAGGGAGCCUAUGGUGCCAGUCUGGGCCCAGGAAUGGGGCUGGGGGCUGGGCUCACAAACGGACUGGGACUGGGAUUGGGCCAGGGAGGAAAACGUGCUUAUGGUGCUGGCUUGGGAACACUUCCAGGAUAUGGAUCUUUAGGGGGCAUUGGCUAUCUUGGAGCACGACCAGGUUAUGCUGGUGGAGCGGGAAACUACAUGGGAGCAAGCCUGGGGGCUUUGGGUUAUGGAGCAGGGUUGGGACAGGGAGCGUAUUUGGGUGGAGCAGCUGGAAAACUUGGAGGUAUGCAUGUAAAUUUUCCUUAUUUUGUCUUUUCUUUGCUUGGAGAUAAGAAAUUAUGUUUUGCAUCUCAUAUUCUGUGUUUCAUCCUGUUCAUCUAAAAAUUUUUUUUACAUUUUAGCUGCUGCUGCACUUGGGCAGGGUGGUUAUCCCCAAGGUGUUGCAGGAAAGUCGACUGGUUAUGGUGAUGGAGCAACAGGAUAUCUUGGUGCUGUGGCAGGGAACGGCCUGGGUUACGGGAAUGGUGAUGGCUAUGGAGCUGCCCUCAGUCCUGGAGGCUAUGCUGGACAGGUCCAGGGGGGCUAUGGAGCACUUGGGGCAGGCCUGGAAUCAACUGGUGGCAAAUAUGGAGGAGGAGCUGGUCAGGCUCCUUAUGGUAAUGCCCCAGUGCUUCCUGCUGGACUGGAAGGUGAUGGCGGCUAUCCGUAUGCUGCACAGCAGCUUGGUCUUGGAGCUGAAGGUGCUAAAUCUGCAAAAUAUGGCCCUGGUGCAGGAUAUGGAGCUCAACAAGCAGGGUUCGGUGCACAGCUAGGGCCAGCUCAAGAUGCUUUGGGAGAGCAGACUGGCAAAUAUGAUCGAGUGAAUGCUGCCCUGGGUAACGGAUACAAAGGCUAAUUCCCACGACGCUGACCUCUUCAAGUGGAUCAUUACCAUAAAGUGUUCAGUCCAAUGAGGUUGCAGAGCUUUUCUGUGUGAUUUACUCUACUUUGUUAUGUUGUCAUGUCUGUAUGUCUUUUGUUUCAUUCUUCUCAUCCACCUUGUCCUUCUCUGUGAACGGACAUCUGUAAACCAGAUGUCUGUCUGCUUGUCUCCCUCCUCUCAAACCUGCAGCACCCACGGGUUUGUUCCUGGCAGUGCUAAAAAGGCUUGGUGGUGAUUGAUAAACAUAAAUGGAUGUGAAAUGCAAGAAAUAUGUCCCUUUGUUUUGGAAUAAUGAUUUGUUCUGUUUUAAUCCAAUAAAUUAUAUCACCCAGUGACGC